UGAUGGUAAUGAUGAUGAUGAUGAUGAUGAUGAUGAUGAUGAUGAUGAUGAUAUAUACAUCAUCAUCAUCAUCAUCAUCAUCAUCAUCAUCGUUU
rnacentral:pre_miRNA from 1 species